rnacentral:rRNA from 1 species
UACGAAGGGGGCUAGCGUUGCUCGGAAUCACUGGGCGUAAAGCGCACGUAGGCGGAUUGUUAAGUCCGGUGUGAAAUCCUGGAGCUCAACUCCAGAACUGCCUUUGAUACUGGCGAUCUUGAGUCCGGGAGAGGUGAGUGGAACUGCGAGUGUAGAGGUGAAAUUCGUAGAUAUUCGCAAGAACACCAGUGGCGAAGGCGGCUCACUGGCCCGGUACUGACGCUGAGGUGCGAAAGCGUGGGGAGCAAACAGG